rnacentral:rRNA from 1 species
GACGAACGCUGGCGGCGUGCUUAACACAUGCAAGUCGAACGAAGAGCGAUGGAAGCUUGCUUCUAUCAAUCUUAGUGGCGAACGGGUGAGUAACGCGUAAUCAACCUGCCCUUCAGAGGGGGACAACAGUUGGAAACGACUGCUAAUACCGCAUACGAUCUAAUCUCGGCAUCGAGGAUAGAUGAAAGGUGGCCUCUACAUGUAAGCUAUCACUGAAGGAGGGGAUUGCGUCUGAUUAGCUAGUUGGAGGGGUAACGGCCCACCAAGGCGAUGAUCAGUAGCCGGUCUGAGAGGAUGAACGGCCACAGUGGGACUGAGACACGGCCCAGACUCCUACGGGAGGCAGCAGUGGGGAAUCUUCCGCAAUGGACGAAGGUCUGACGGAGCAACGCCGCGUGAGUGAUGACGGCCUUCGGGUUGUAAAGCUCUGUUAAUCGGGACGAAAGGCCUUCUUGCGAACAGUUAGAAGGAUUGACGGUACCGGAAUAGAAAGCCACGGCUAACUACGUG